rnacentral:rRNA from 1 species
GUGCCAGCAGCCGCGGUAAUACAGAGGUGGCAAGCGUUGUUCGGAAUUACUGGGCGUAAAGGGCGCGUAGGCGGUUCGCUAAGUCCCGCGUGAAAUCCCCCGGCUCAACCGGGGAACUGCGCGGGAAACUGGCGGGCUUGAGUUCGGGAGAGGGAAGCGGAAUUCCGGGUGUAGCGGUGAAACGCGUAGAUAUCCGGAGGAACACCGGUGGCGAAGGCGGCUUCCUGGACCGACACUGACGCUGAGGCGCGAAAGCUAGGGGAGCAAACGGGAUUAGAUACCCCCGUAGUCC